rnacentral:rRNA from 1 species
GAUGAACGCUGGCGGCGUGCCUAAUACAUGCAAGUCGAGCGAACAGACGAGGAGCUUGCUCCUCUGACGUUAGCGGCGGACGGGUGAGUAACACGUGGAUAACCUACCUAUAAGACUGGGAUAACUUCGGGAAACCGGAGCUAAUACCGGAUAAUAUUUUGAACCGCAUGGUUCAAUAGUGAAAGACGGUUUUGCUGUCACUUAUAGAUGGAUCCGCGCCGCAUUAGCUAGUUGGUAAGGUAACGGCUUACCAAGGCAACGAUGCAUAGCCGACCUGAGAGGGUGAUCGGCCACACUGGAACUGAGACACGGUCCAGACUCCUGCGGGAGGCAGCAGUAGGGAAUCUUCCGCAAUGGGCGAAAGCCUGACGGAGCAACGCCGCGUGAGUGAUGAAGGUCUUCGGAUCGUAAAACUCUGUUAUUAGGGAAGAACAAAUGUGUAAGUAACUAUGCACAUCUUGACGGUACCUAAUCAGAAAGCCACGGCUAACUACGUG